AUGGGUGCCCUGCUCUAUAGAGAGUCCAAUGUAAUAAGCAAGGCCAAUCAGGAACUGAAUCCUGCUGACAUCUAUGUCAGUGAACUUGGCAUCUAAUUCUCCCCUGGUUGAGCCUUGAGAUGAAAACAGCCUUGGCCAUCGCCUUGACUCUGGCAGAGGUGAGUGGCAGAGGUCCAGACCCUGGGUUAUGGGAGAGGGAGAGUAUGAAAGGUUGUACUCAGGAGAGAUAUACAGGAGAUUCAUUCAUGAUGAACAGACCUGACAGAAAGCACAAAGGCACGGUGGAAAUUUGAAGAACUUGUCUUGUGAGAGACCUGGGCCAGGGUACCCAGCCAAGCUGCCUCUGGAUUCCUGAACUACAAAAACUGUGAGAUAAAUAUCUGCUUAUGAAGAAAAUAUAUAGAGAUUGGAAGAGAGUGUUAUGAGAAAAAACCACAAAAAUGAUUUUAUCCUCCUGAGAUAGAUUUCCUGUCUCUCUCCAGCAGAUGUUAUCAGGAUAAUUGCAAACAAAACUAUAUAUAACAAAAUCCAGGUGACUUAA